GCAGUCGAACGCGAAAGCGGGGCAACCCGCAAGUAGAGUGGCGAACGGGUGAGUAAUACAUCGGAACGUACCCAGUAGCGGGGGAUAACCUCUCGAAAGAGAAGCUAAUACCGCAUACGACCUACGGGUGAAAGCGGGGGACCGCAAGGCCUCGCACUAUUGGAGCGGCCGAUGUCGGAUUAGCUAGUUGGCGGGGUAACGGCCCACCAAGGCGACGAUCCGUAGCUGGUCUGAGAGGACGACCAGCCACACUGGAACUGAGACACGGUCCAGACUCCUACGGGAGGCAGCAGUGGGGAAUUUUGGACAAUGGGCGCAAGCCUGAUCCAGCCAUGCCGCGUGAGUGAAGAAGGCCUUCGGGUUGUAAAGCUCUUUCGGCGGGGACGAAAAGGUCCGUGACAACACCACGGAUCCAUGACGGUACCCGCAGAAGAAGCACCGGCUAACUACGUGCCAGCAGCCGCGGUAAUACGUAGGGUGCAGGCGUUAAUCGGAAUUACUGGGCGUAAAGCGUGCGCAGGCGGUUUGCUAAGAGAGGUGUGAAAUCCCCGGGCUUAACCUGGGAACUGCGCUUCUAACUGGCAGGCUUGAGUGUGGCAGAGGGGGGUGGAAUUCCACGUGUAGCAGUGAAAUGCGUAGAGAUGUGGAGGAACACCGAUGGCGAAGGCAGCCCCCUGGGCUAACACUGACGCUCAUGCACGAAAGCGUGGGGAGCAAACAGGAUUAGAUACCCUGGUAGUCCACGCCCUAAACUAUGUCAACUGGUUGUCGGGGAAGCAAUUCCUUGGUAACGAAGCUAACGCGUGAAGUUGACCGGCC
rnacentral:rRNA from 1 species